CAGUAUUGAUUUUCUGAGGAAAACUAUGAAAACUAUAAACUACGGUUUAUAUACUUUUCCUAAUUUCCCUUGCUUACUCAUCUUUCUCAUACUGCUGACUCAUGUACUGGACGGGGCCCGAGGAGAUGGUGAGCAUGCUGACCAGAGCAUGUAUAGAUAGCUCGAGGGAGACGGGAAGGCAGAGAGAUGGCUGGAAAGAAACCGAAGGGCGAAGAGAGAUGUCGAGAACCCAAAGAGAAUUUAGACGAUCGGCCGCGAUCGUCGGAGGUGGAGGUACUUUGGUUCGGCGGCAGAGAGAGGUGGAGGUUUCGGGUAUCACUUCUGCAUAGCGUCGUGACAGUUUGCCUAAUUGUCAAGUCUAAGGAUG
rnacentral:sRNA from 1 species